UUUACCAGUGGAUUCAUAGAACGCUACUCUUUGAAGGUAUGGCAUGGAGUCCCUCUUUUGCAUUAGAUCGAAUGUUGUGAAGGGGAGCUGACACCUCUCUGUGGGAUUUGCAGGCGAGACAAGAUGUACCUCGGUGAUUUUCACUUGAAAGUCGUCCAUUUUCAUCUUCAUCCCGUCGAAGAUCCAAGCCCGAACUCGCAGUGACAAGCAAAGCAGCACAGGGACUCCUAGAGGCUCGGGGAUAUUAUAUUCUAAACAGCACGCACGGAUUGAUUGGAGUCAAGUCAUGUCACACAAGCAGACGAGACGAUGGACUCUGGAUAUUAACACGUAAGGUGGUACACAGGAUUAAUUCGUUUUGACUUUCUCACUGAACUUCGCCAUUGUUUCAGGAGGAAGGAACACCGUGACUUCAAUGGCUUUCCCACCUCUUGGUGACGGGUCGUAGAAGCAGAAGCCGUUCCACAGCUUCGUAGCAUGUCGAACAGCGGCUGGUUUCCCCCAUCCAAAGUCCAGACUAUACAUUGGAAAUCUUGGAGAGCUGCCACCCCAGGUAUCCACACCAUCUGUCACGCCUUUGCUGAACGGGUUACUCCCUUUGGUGUCUUCGUUGUAGAUGGCAAUUGCGGAGCGGAUCUCAUCCUUCUUGAAACUCGUGAUUGCCUCGUGGACAACAGCUCCCGUGAAUGGAAGGCCUCCAGUCACAAGUUCCCC
rnacentral:lncRNA from 1 species